CAGCCGCCACGGUAAAACGUAGGGGGCAAGCGUUAUCCGGAAUUACUGGGUGUAAAGGGAGCGUAGACGGUUAAACAAGUCUGAAGUGAAAUGCCGGGGCUCAACCCCGGAGCUGCUUUGGGAACUGUAGAACUGGAGUGUCGGAGGGGUAAGCGGAAUUCCCAGUGUAGCGGUGAAAUGCGUAGAUAUUGGGAGGAACACCAGCGGCGAAGGCGGCUUACUGGACGACAACUGACGUCGAGGCUCGAAGGCGUGGGUAGCAAACUGGAUUAGAUACCCCCGUAGUCCCUGUCUCUUAUAC
rnacentral:rRNA from 1 species